rnacentral:misc_RNA from 1 species
UGUGGGAGCUGGCUUGCCAGCGAUGGGGCCAUGUCAGUCGACAUCUUUUUGGCAGAUGCACCGCUAUCGCUGGCAAGCCAGCUCCCACA